rnacentral:lncRNA from 1 species
AGAUAAAAGGUAUUUUGAGAAUAGGGGUAUAUGUAAUUAAGGGGGUAUAUGAGAAUAAAGAGUAUUUGAGAUUAGGGGAAAUUGAGAUUAAAGGGGUAUAAGAGAAUAUGAGAUAUAUGAGAAUAAGAGGUGUUGAUAAAGGAUAUUUUGAAAUUAGAGGUAUAUGAGAAUAAAGGGUAUAUGAAAAUAAGGCUAUUUGAGAUUAUGGGCAUUUGAGAAUAAGGACAUUUGAGAAUAAGGGCAUUUGAGAUUAGGGUUUAGGGUUUAGGGGUAUAUGAGAAUAAAGGGUAUGUGAGAUUAAAGGGAUUAGGGGCAUUUGAGAUUAGGAGCAUUUGAGAUUGUGGUUUAGGGUUUAGGGGUAUUUGAGAAUAAAGGGUAUGUGAGAUUAAAGGGAUAUAUGAGAUUAUGGGCAUUUGAGAAUAAGCGUAUUUGAGAUUAGGAGCAUUUGAGAAUAAGGGCAUUUGAAAUUAGAGGCAUUUGAGAAUAAGGGUAUUUAAGAAUAAGGGUAUUUAAAAUUUUGGGGCAUUUGAGAUUAGGGGCAUUUGAGAUUAGGGUUUAGGGGUAUAUGAGAAUAAAGGGUAUAUGAGAAUAAAGGGUAUUUGAGAUUAAAGGGGUAUAUGAGAUUAGGGAUAUUUGAGAAUAAGGGCAUUUGAGAUUAGGGGCAUUUGAGAAUAAGGGCAUUUGAGAAUAAGUGCAUUUGAGAAUAAGGGCAUUUGAGAAUAGGGGUAUUUGAGAAUAGUGGUGUUUGAGAAUAGGGGUAUUUGAGAAUAAGGGUACUUGAGAUUAGGGGCAUUUGAGAAUAAGGGCAUUUGAGAAUAAGAGCAUUUGAGAAUAAGGGCAUUUCAGAAUAGGGAUAUUUGAGAAUAGGGGUGUUUGAGAAUAGGGGUAUUUGAGAAUAGGGGCAUUU